GUCGAGAAUCUUCCGCAAUGCGCGAAAGCGUGACGGAGCGACACCGCGUGAUGGAUGAAGUCCUUCGGGGCGUAAACAUCUUUUAUAAAGGAGGAAAUUUUUGACGUUACUUUAUGAAUAAGGGGCUCCCAAUCUCGUGCCAGCAGGAGCGGUAAUACGAGAGCCUCAAGCGUUAUCCGGAAUCAUUGGGCGUAAAGGGUGCGUAGGUGGUUUGAUUAGUCUCCCGUUAAAACUUCGAGCUUAACUCGAAAAGAGCGGGGGAAACGGUCAAACUAGAGUAUGUGAGAGGGGUGUGGAACUCAUGGUGUAGGGGUGAAAUCCGUUGAUAUCAUGGGGAACACCAAAAGCGAAGGCAGCACACUGGCACAUCACUGACACUGAGGCACGAAACCUAAGGUAGCGAAUGGGAUUAGAAACCCGGGUAGUCC
rnacentral:rRNA from 1 species